GAUGAAGAACGUAGUGAAAUGCGAUACAUAAUGUGAAUUGCAGAAUUCAGUGAAUCAUCGAGUCUUUGAACGCACAUUGCGCCCCCUGGUAUUCCGGGGGGCAUGCCUGUCCGAGCGUCAUUGCUGCCCUCAAGCACGGCUUGUGUGUUGGGCCUCCGUCCUCCUCCCGGGGGACGGGCCCGAAAGGCAGCGGCGGCACCGCGUCCGGUCCUCGAGCGUAUGGGGCUUCGUCACCCGCUCUUGUAGGCCCGGCCGGCGCUUGCCGACACAUCAAUCUUUUUUCCAGGUUGACCUCGGAUCAGGUAGGGAUACCCGCUGAACUUAAGCAUAUCAAUAAGCGGAGGA
rnacentral:misc_RNA from 1 species